GUUAAGGUUAGUGAUUCGGAUGGACCAUUAAAUGAGUUUCAACGUUUUAGAGUCAAUGAUGGAGGUUGGUUGGUUAAGGUUAGUGAUUUGGAUGGACCAUUAAAUGAGUUUCAACGUUUUAGAGUCAAUGAUGAGUGGUUCAGUGGUUCAGUAUUUGGACAGUCCUUAUUCUUAAGUUCAAAUCCUUGUGUUAAGUGGGAUUUGUUUUAUUUUUUUGUUGGUUUCAAAAAAGGAUAUUAUUUUAAUUUAUUUAGCUAUGUUUUAAAUUUGUUUUUUGAAAACCCUAAAAUAACUCUCACAUUUCCAUUUUUUUUCUUCUCACGUCAGUUUCUUUUCCAAUUUCAGACUUUUGCCUUUUUGGCUACUGUGUUUGCUUUUGAUAUCAUUUUCUUUUUCGAUUCAUUCUUGAAUUCUGUUAGUUUUCCUUUUGUUCCGCUGUGGAUUAUUCGGUUCUAGUAAUCUUGUGUCGUUCCUCUAGUUUUAAUCGGUCUUCAGAAACUUCGCUCAACAACAUGUUGAAUCAAGGGUAGUAUCUGUUUAAUUGAGGCGCAUCAGUUAAUCGCUAGCGCGUGAAUCGUCUUUAAGGUAAAUCUCAAGACUAGGUGUUGGACUUGGCAAACCGGAGAUCUUGAGACAACACGUUUUGGUUUGAUUUAAUUAAGUUUUUAUAGGUUAUAAUAAUCUGUUUAAUUUGGACUAUAAAUAAGUUUUAGGAACUAUGGUAUGAAUUUUGAUUUCAUUUAGAUUCAUAAGAUUGCGGGAAUUUGGUUUUGAACGGAAGUUAUGAUUUAUCAUGCAUGGAUUAUAGUUAACCAGUUACUAUUCUCUUUAUAAAGAACACACACAGUUUAGAGAAAUAA